CCUACGGGAGGCUGCAGUGGGGAAUAUUGCGCAAUGGGCGAAAGCCUGACGCAGCGACGCCGCGUGAGGGAUGAAGGUCUUCGGAUCGUAAACCUCUGUCAGCAGGGAAGAACGGUCACUGUGCUAAUCAGCAGUGAAUUGACGGUACCUGCAAAGGAAGCACCGGCUAACUCCGUGCCAGCCGCCGCGGUAAUACGGAGGGUGCGAGCGUUAAUCGGAAUUACUGGGCGUAAAGCGCUCGUAGGCGGUAUGUCAAGUCAAGGGUGAAAUCACCGCGCUCAACGUGGGAACUGCCUUUGAAACUGGCAAACUGGAGUGUGGGAGAGGAUAGUGGAAUUCCAGGUGUAGGAGUGAAAUCCGUAGAUAUCUGGAGGAACAUCAGUGGCGAAGGCGACUAUCUGGCACAUAACUGACGCUGAGGAGCGAAAGCGUGGGUAGCAAACAGGAUUAGAUACCCUUGUAGUC
rnacentral:rRNA from 1 species